UACGGGGGGUGCAAGCGUUGUUCGGAAUUAUUGGGCGUAAAGAGCGUGUAGGCGGCCGGAUAUGUCAGAUGUGAAAGCCCUGGGCUUAACCCAGGAAGUGCAUUUGAAACUGUUCGGCUUGAGUAGGGGAGAGGGAAGUGGAAUUCCUGGUGUAGAGGUGAAAUUCGUAGAUAUCAGGAGGAACACCGGUGGCGAAGGCGACUUCCUGGCCCUAUACUGACGCUGAGACGCGAGAGCGUGGGUAGCAAACAGGAUUAGAUACCCUGGUAGUCCACGCCGUAAACGAUGUUCACUAGGUGUUGGGGGUAUUGACCCCCUCAGUGCCGGAGCUAACGCAUUAAGUGAACCGCCUGGGGAGUACGGUCGCAAGACUA
rnacentral:rRNA from 1 species